rnacentral:rRNA from 1 species
UACGUAGGGUGCAAGCGUUAAUCGGAAUUACUGGGCGUAAAGCGUGCGCAGGCGGUUUUGUAAGUCAGAUGUGAAAUCCCCCGGGCUUAACCUGGGAACUGCGUUUGAAACUACAAGGCUAGAGUGUGGCAGAGGGGGGUGGAAUUCCACGUGUAGCAGUGAAAUGCGUAGAGAUGUGGAGGAACACCGAUGGCGAAGGCAGCCUCCUGGGCUAGUACUGACGCUCAUGCACGAAAGCGUGGGGAGCAAACAGG